GCUUUAGUAUCCUGGUGCUGCUGUGCUGUGGAGCCUGUGUGGUCUCUUAGCCAAGAUGCCUGAGGAAACCUAGACCCAAGACCAACCCAUGGAGGUGGAGGAGGUUGAGAUAUUCACCUUUCAGGCAGAAUUGCCCAGUUGAUGUCAUUGAUCAUCAAUACUUUCUACUCGAACAAAGAGAUCUUUCUGAGUGAGCUCAUUUCAAAUUCAUCAGAUGCAUUGGACAAAAUUCAGUAUGAAAGCUUGACGGAUCCCAGUAAAUUAGACUCUGGGAAAGAGCUGCAUAUUAACCUUAUACCAAACAAACAAGAUCGAACCCUCCCUAUUGUGGAUACUGGAAUUGGAAUGACCAAGGCUGACUUGAUCAAUAACCUUGGUAUUAUCGCCAAGUCUGGGACCAAAGCGUUCAUGGAAGCUUUGCAGGCUGGUGCAGAUGUCUCUAUGAUUGGUCAUUUCAGUGUCGGUUUUUAUUCUGCUUAUUUGGUUGCUGAGAAAGCAACUGUGAUCACCAAACAUAAUGAUGAUGAGCAGUACGCCUGGGAGUCUUCAGCAGGGGGAUCAUUCACAAUGAGGACAGACACAGGUGAACCUAUGGGUCGUGGAACAAAGGUUAUCCUACACCUGAAAGAAGACCAAACUGAGUACUUGGAGGAACGAAGAAUAAAGGAGAUUGUGAAGAAACAUUCUCAGUUUAUUGGAUAUUUCAUUACUCUUUUUGUAGAGAAGGAACAUGAUAAAGAAGUCAACGAUGAUGAGGCUGAAGAAAAGGAAGACAAAGAAGAAGAAGAAGAAAAAGAAGAGAAAGAGUCUGAAGACAAACCUGAAAUUGAAGAUGUUGGUUCUGAUGAGGAAGGAGAAGAAAAGAAGGAUAGUGACAACAAGAAGAAGAAGAUUAAGGAAAAGUACAUCAAUCAAGAAGAACUCAACAAAACAAAGUCCAUCUGGAACAGAAAUCCUGACGAUAUUACUAAUGAGGAGUACAGAGAAUUCUACAAGAGCUUGACCAAUGACUGGGAUGAUCACUUGGCAGUGAAGCAUUUUUCAGUUGAAGGACAAUUGGAAUUCAGAGCCCUUCUAUUUGUCCCACGACAUGCUCCUUUUGACCUGUUUGAAAACAGAAAGAAAAAGAACAACAUUAAAUGGUAUGUAUGCAGAGUUUUCACCAUGGAUAACUAUGAGGAGCUAAUCACUGAAUAUCUGAACUUCAUUAGAGGGGUGGUAGACUCAGAGGAUCUCCCUCUAAAUAUUUCCCAUGAGAUGUUACAACAAAGCAAAAUUUGGAAAUUAUCAGGAAGAAUUUGGUCAAAAAAUGCUUGGAACUCUUUACUGAACUGGCAGAAGAUAAAGAGAACUACAAGAAGUUCUAUGAGCAGUUCUCUAAAAAUAUGAAGCUUGGAAUACACGAAGACUCUCAAAAUCAGAAGAAGCUUUCAGAGCUGUUAAGGUACUACACAUCUGCCUCUGGUGAUGAGAUGGUUUCUCUCAAGGACUACUGUACCAGAAUGAAGGAAAACCAGAAACAUAUCUAUUACAUAACAGGUGAGACCAAGGACCAGGUAGCUAACUCAGCCUUUGUGGAACGUCUUCAGAAACAUGGCUACAUGGCUCAGAAGUGAUUUAUAUGAUUUAGCCCAUUGAUGAGUACUGUGUCCAACAGUUGAAGGAAUUUGAGGGGAAGACUUUAGUGUCAGUCACCAAAGAGGGCUUGGAACUUCCAGAGGAUGAAUAAGAGAAAAAGAAACAGGAAGAUAAAAAAACAAAGUUUGAGAACCUCUGCAAAAUCAUGAAAGACAUAUUGGAGAAAAAAGUUGAAAAGGUGGUUGUGUCAAACCGAUUGGUGACAUCCCCAUGCUGUAUUGUCACAAGCACUAUGGCUGGACAGCAAACGUGGAGAGAAUCAUGAAAGCUCAAGCCCUAAGAGACAACUCAACAAUGGGUUGCAUGGCAGCAAAGAAACACCUGGAGAUAAACCCUGACCAUUCCAUUAUUGAGACCUUAAGGCAAAAGGCAGAGGCUGAUGAGAACAAGUCUGUGAAGGAUCUGGUCAUCUUGCUUUAUGAAACUGCACUCCUGUCUUCUGGCUUCAAUCUGGAAGAUCCCCAGACGCAUGCUAACAGGAUCUAUAGGAUGAUCAAACUUGGUCUGGGUAUUGAAGAUGACCCUACUGCUGAUGAUACCAGUGCAGCUGUAACUGAAGAAAUGCCGCCCCUCAAAGGAGAUGACGACACAUCACACAUGGAAGAAAUAGACUAACCUCCGGCUGAGGGAUGACUUACCUGUUCAAUACUCUACAAUUCCUCUGAUAAUAUAUUUUCAAGGAUGUUUUUGUUUAUUUUUGUUAAUAUUAAAAAGUCUGUAUGGCAUGACAACAACUACUUUAAGGGGAAGAUAAGAUUUCUGUCUACUUCUAAGUGAUGCUGUGAUACCUUAUAUACUAAAGCAGAGCUAAUAAUGCUUUUUUAGUUUCACAUUGUUUUUAUUUUAACAGAUUGGGGUAAUGUAUGUUGUAAGAUGUAUGUAACAUGAUGUUAACUUUGUGGUCUAAAGUGUUUAGCUAUCAAGCCGGAUUCCUAAGUAGACCAAAUCUUGCUAUCAAAGUGUUCCUGAGCUAUACCUUGAUGUUUAGAAAAGUAUUUGUUACAUCUUGCAGGAUCCACUUUUUGAACUUUUCAUCCCCUGUAGUUGCCAAUUCUGCAUGUACUAGUCAUCUAGAAAUAGGUUAAACUGAAGCAACUUGAUGGAAGGAACUCUCCACAGGGCUUGUUUUCCAAAGAAAACUAUUGUUUGGAGGAGCAAAGUUAUGAGCCUCCCUAAGCAUAUCAUAAAACUGUUCGAAAAUAACUCAGACUCGGUCUUGUGGAUGGAAAUGUAGUGCUCGAGUCACAUUCUGCUUAAAGUUGUAACAAAUACUGAUGAGUUAAAAGAAAAAAAAAAAAAAA